UUCUAACUUAUAAAAAUAUAUAAUAAAUAUACAUGCAUUAAAAAUAACGCAGAGAGGGACUUCCCUGGUGGACCAGUGGUUAGGACUCCCGAACUUCCACUUCAGGGAGCAACUGGUCAGGGAACUAAGAUCCCGCAAGCCGCGUGGCACAGCCAAAAAAAAUAAUAACAAAAAUAACACAGAGAAAUAAAAUACUACUAGGUAGGAUGGAAACUUACUAAUGCUUCCCGCGUUUUCCUAUUUUUCUACAAUUGGCCUGUAUCCCUUUAAUAACAAGAAAUGUUACAAAAAUAAAAGGCGCCUGCGCGAGCACACACGUGACUUCCCCCCGGGUAUGAGGAACUGCUUAUCGCGUUCUUCCUUCAGACAGCUGCCUCUUGGUCCAGUCUUGUGCCCAGAAGAUGGUUUUUCUUGGCUCUGGGACUAAAUGGAGUGAACACCUGGUCCAGAUUUGCUUGGCUCUUUCUUCUCUAAGCAACUAAUUCCUGAUGGAAAAAUAUGCUUACACCACAUAGACUCACACCAAAGACAAGGGAAAGCUUCCAUUUAUCCUGUCGCUUUGAUUUCAUUUCUGCCUCCUGAAGGUGAAGUCAGCCCAGGCAAGCCUCAUCCAGCGCCUCACGACACAGAAAAGAGUUUGGCCUGGCUGACUGCAUGAUUAUCACAGUGCAACAGAACCUUGGCAGCAGCCUUUUAAGCAGGGUGCUGUGUUUCUGAAGACCGCAUCGCAAAAGAGAAACUCAGAGCUGCACCAAGAUGCAACCUACAAAACGUGUGGGUGACCAGCCCUGCGUACACCCACUUUUCUAUGCCAAGUUACUCUUCUCAUCUGCGACUGGCCUACUUUCAUUCUGCCUUCUUCUCCCAUACUCCUUAGUCUAGCCUGUUGCAUGAGCUGCCACACCCUGAUUCUAUCUGAUGUUUUCAUCCCUCACUUCAACCAGUGGUGCUGGAGUCGGCUCCUACUGGCUCAAGAAAGUGAUUGUGCGUUGUCCUUCCCAAUGUCAUGUUCAAAAACAUGACAUUGGUAGCUUGAAAUUGGGCAUGGUAAGGGUAAUUACAUCACAGAAAGCAGCAAAUCCUACAAAUAAGGCUUUUCCCCCCUCCAGAGAGCCAGUUGUUAAACAUUUACUACCAUCCAACUGAAUUUACUCCUUUUCAAAAGUUAAAUAAGGAUCGAUUUUAUUUUGACAAAUGUUUAGCUCUAUCCUCAGCCCUACAAUAACCAAAAAGAGUAUCAAUCCUGGGCAAAAUGGUUAUACAUGCCCUAUGUACCACUGCACAGUUUUCUUCAGAAUAGGCUCCUCCAAAUUGGUCCCCCUCCCCUCCUUCAUGGCUCUGAUCUACCUCCAAGCCAGCCUCAGCAAGGCUGGAGCACCUGGAGCUUUCAUGACCAUUCUCCCCUAUCAAAACUUAAAACAAAUUUUUUUUAUUGGAGUAGAGUUGAUUUACAAUGUUGUGUUAGUUUUGGGUGUACAGCAAAGUGAUUCAGUUAUACAUAUACAUAUAUCUACUCUUUUUUAGAUUCUUUUCCCAUAUAGGUCAUUACAGAGUACUGAGUAGAGUUCCCUGUGCUAUACAGUAGGUCCUCCUUAUUAGUUAUCUAUUUUAUAUAUAGUAGUGUAUAUAUGUCAGUCCCAGUCUCCCAGUUUAUCCCUCUCCCACCCCUUUCCCCCUGGUUCCUCUAUCAAAACUUGCCUGACCGAUGUUCCAUUUACCUAUGCCAAAUUGAUAAAUGCAUUCUAACUGGGUAUUUCUCCAUAUUUUAUUUCUCUUAGAUGAAUAUAUUUUUAACACAGGGUUUUCAGUGUCUUAGCUCCAAGAAUGAGGGGAAUUUCAGUCACCUUGCCAAGGCUAGCAAAUAUUUAGAGAGUAGUGAAACCAAUCACUCUCCUAAAUAGACCUUACAUACUUAUUUCAAUAAAGAAUUACAAGAUGAUAGUCACUUUAGAAAAUAAUUUGGCAUUUCAAAUGUCAAACAUUAAAACCUUAUGACUUAGAAGGUAUUCCACCCUAGGUAUAUAGCUAAGAAAAUUGAAAAUGUACAUCUACACAAAAACUUGUAUGUGAAUGUUCAUGGCGGCACUAUUCAUAAUGGCUAAACAGUGGAAAUCAUUCAAAUGUCCAUCAACUAAUAAAUAGAUAAAUAAAAUGUGGUUGGGACUUCCCUGGUGGCUCAGUGGUUAAGAAUCUGCCUGCCAAUGCAGGGGACACAGGUUCAAUCCCUGGUCCGGGCAGAUCUCACAUGCUGCGGAGCAACUAAGCCCGUGCACCACAACUACUGAGCCUGCACUCUAGAGCCUGCGAGCCACAACUACUGAGCCCGCGUGCUGCAACUACUGAAGCCCACGCGUCUAGAGCCCGUGCUCCUCAACGAGAAGCCACAGCAAUGAGAAGCCCGUGCACUGCAACCAAGAGUAGCCCCCACUUGCAGCUAGAGAAAGCCCCGCGUGCAGCAUUGAAGACCCAAUGCAGCCCCAAAUAAAUAAAUUUAAAAAAAUAUGGUCUACCAUACAAUGGAAUAUUAAGACAUAAAAAGAAAUGAAGUACUAAUACAUGCUAUAACAUAGGUAAACCUUGAAAACAUGUAAAGUGAAAGAAACCAGACACAAAAGACCACACACUAUAAGAUUCCAUUUAUAUGAAAUGCUCAGAAUAGGCAAAUCCAGACAAAGUAAUUAAGACAGAAAGUAGAUUAGUGGUUUCCAGGGGCUACGGUGGAGGGGGAAUGGCAAGUGACUGCUAAUGGGUAUGGAGUUUCUUUAGGGGGUGAUAAAGAUGUUCUUACAUUAGAUAGUGGUGAGGGUUACACAUCUCUGUGAAUAUAGGAAAAAACACUGAAUUGUACACUUUUCAAGGGUGAAUUUUAUGGCAUGUGAAUUAUGUAUCAAUAAAGCUGUUAUUUUUAUUUUUUUGUAA